GGAGCCAGUGGGGAAGGUGGCUCUGUCCCCACGGACUGGGUUUGUCCCAGGAAUAUAAGGAAAUGGUAUCUGGCUUUGUUUUGGCACGGUUUGGCUCCCCUUGCAGCAAGGCAGGAGAAGAGUUUAAAGGGCACGGCUUUCCCGUGUAUCUGGCUGGAAGGACAUGAAAGAAGGAUCCUUCAGAAGAGGUUGUUCAGGUGUUUUUCAGCCCCAGACUGCAAC